rnacentral:lncRNA from 1 species
GGUGUGAACAAAAGAGGAGACCGUUCUCCUCUUGGGUGAGAGAUCUAGAACUGUUCUAAAUUUUUGGAUGAGGAAAAACCAAAGAGAAGAGAGUUUUUAUCUAUAUUUUUUCCACCAUCCAGUAUCCUUCUCUGAUUCAUAUUCAACAUUGAAAAGGUUUGAGGUGAUCAAAGAAGGAGAUCAAGUUAGAUCAGCCAUCAGAAGCCAAUUGCAUGAGCUAGCACUCUCGUAGAGGGCUGAUCGAUCCGAGGGGCUUCGUGUAGACCAUCCGUAGAGGCCGGAC